GAAGCCCGGUGACCGGGUGUAUACGUGAGCACGCGGUUUCUACUUGACACGUGUCUAACAACGUGUGUCGUGCCGUUUGUCUGGUGGGAAAUAAAGUGGAUCGAUUCUCAUCCCCUUUCUUCAUCCAGUGCCAGCAGCGCCUUCCAAUCCCACCACCUGCAGUGCUCCCCUCCCCAGUUCCCAGCCUAGCCACCUCCUACCCACAGCUCUCCCCGUCAGUGGUGAGCUCCGCCACCGUGUGCCUGCCGCCGGCACUCCCAUAGGAAUCCACCUGCGUCCGAUUCUCCGUCGCGGGGUCGGGCCACGGCCGGUCCGGGGAUGCAUCCAGCGCAAGGUCCGUUAAGCUAAAACGGAGGAGCUUGCGCCAAGACAGCAAACCGCCGAGUUGUGGAGAGGAAUUAGUGCAGCAGCCAAGAGAGCGAUUCUAUCCUCGGCUCUUUUUUCCUUUGUUUUUCCUGGGAUUCCUAGUGAAUGACAUCUUUCUAUUGAUGGUGAUUUUAGUGAUGAGAUCAAUGCAUUAUUCGA